UAGGUCCACCAAAUCAAAUACAUAACCAUAUACCAAGAAUCACUGCGAUAUAUAUCUUCAGAGGAACACAAUGGCCAGCAAGAGGUUUUCGUCUGCUUCCGCCACUUCUUCCCUGUUGUUUGCUUUCGUUCUUCUGCUGUUGCUUUCGGGAGAAGCAUCGUGCCAAAGUACGUGCAAUAACGCAGAAUGCAGCAAGUCAUGCAAAGCCAAGGGGAAAAAGGGGGGAGUGUGCGUGGCGUUUUUGGGCCCGAAGCGUGUUUUUGGUUGCGUUUGCAAUCCCCCAAAUUCUUCUCAACCCGAGAGCGACGCUCCAUCUAUUUGAAUGAUGUCAUGAUAUAUAUAUGUGGCCUCAUAUGUAUUUCGGAAUAGAAUACAAUUUCGUAUCAAUAUCAAUAAAAUAAAUAUAUUAUCGUUUCGAUGAAA